AUUGAACGCUGGCGGAAUGCUUUACACAUGCAAGUCGAACGGCAGCACGGGGGCAACCCUGGUGGCGAGUGGCGAACGGGUGAGUAAUACAUCGGAACGUGCCCGGUCGUGGGGGAUAACGUAUCGAAAGUUACGCUAAUACCGCAUACGAUCUGAGGAUGAAAGCGGGGGACCUUCGGGCCUCGCGCGAUCGGAGCGGCCGAUGUCAGAUUAGGUAGUUGGUGGGGUAAAGGCCUACCAAGCCGACGAUCUGUAGCUGGUCUGAGAGGACGACCAGCCACACUGGGACUGAGACACGGCCCAGACUCCUACGGGAGGCAGCAGUGGGGAAUUUUGGACAAAGGGCGCAAGCCUGAUCCAGCCAUUCCGCGUGCAGGACGAAGGCCUUCGGGUUGUAAACUGCUUUUGUAUGGAACGAAAAGGCUCUGGCUAAUACCCGGGGCUCAUGACGGUACCGUAAGAAUAAGCACCGGCUAACUACGUG
rnacentral:rRNA from 1 species